rnacentral:rRNA from 1 species
GGUUAAGCGACUAAGCGUACACGGUGGAUGCCCUGGCAGUCAGAGGCGAUGAAGGACGUGCUAAUCUGCGAAAAGCGUCGGUAAGGUGAUAUGAACCAAUAUAGCCGGCGAUGUCCGAAUGGGGAAACCCAGUGCAAUUCGUUGCACUAUCGUUAACUGAAUACAUAGGUUAACGAGGCGAACCGGGGGAACUGAAACAUCUAAGUACCCCGAGGAAAAGAAAUCAACCGAGAUUCCCCCAGUAGCGGCGAGCGAACGGGGAGCAGCCCGGAGUCUGAAUCAGCUUGUGUGCUAGUGGAAGCGUCUGGAAAGUCGCAGGGUACAGGGUGAUACUCCCGUACACUAAAGCACACAGGUUGUGAACUCGAAGAGUAGGGCGGGACACGUGGUAUCCUGUCUGAAUAUGGGGGGACCAUCCUCCAAGGCUAAAUACUCCUGACUGACCGAUAGUGAACCAGUACCGUGAGGGAAAGGCGAAAAGAACCCCGGCGAGGGGAGUGAAAAAGAACCUGAAACCGUGUACGUACAAGCAGUAGGAGCCCACUUGUUGGGUGACUGCGUACCUUUUGUAUAAUGGGUCAGCGACUUAUAUUCUGUAGCAAGGUUAACCGUAUAGGGGAGCCGCAGGGAAACCGAGUCUUAACUGGGCGUUAAGUUGCAGGGUAUAGACCCGAAACCCGGUGAUCUAGCCAUGGGCAGGUUGAAGGUUGGGUAACACUAACUGGAGGACCGAACCGACUAAUGUUGAAAAAUUAGCGGAUGACUUGUGGCUGGGGGUGAAAGGCCAAUCAAACCGGGAGAUAGCUGGUUCUCCCCGAAAGCUAUUUAGGUAGCGCCUCGUGAACUCAUCUUCGGGGGUAGAGCACUGUUUCGGCUAGGGGGUCAUCCCGACUUACCAACCCGAUGCAAACUACGAAUACCGAAGAAUGUUAUCACGGGAGACACACGGCGGGUGCUAACGUCCGUCGUGAAGAGGGAAACAACCCAGACCGCCAGCUAAGGUCCCAAAGUCAUGGUUAAGUGGGAAACGAUGUGGGAAGGCCCAGACAGCCAGGAUGUUGGCUUAGAAGCAGCCAUCAUUUAAAGAAAGCGUAAUAGCUCACUGGUCGAGUCGGCCUGCGCGGAAGAUGUAACGGGGCUAAACCAUGCACCGAAGCUGCGGCAGCGACACUAUGUGUUGUUGGGUAGGGGAGCGUUCUGUAAGCCGUUGAAGGUGGCCUGUGAGGGUUGCUGGAGGUAUCAGAAGUGCGAAUGCUGACAUAAGUAACGAUAAUGCGGGUGAAAAACCCGCACGCCGGAAGACCAAGGGUUCCUGUCCAACGUUAAUCGGGGCAGGGUGAGUCGACCCCUAAGGCGAGGCCGAAAGGCGUAGUCGAUGGGAAACAGGUUAAUAUUCCUGUACUCGGUGUUACUGCGAAGGGGGGACGGAGAAGGCUAUGUUGGCCGGGCGACGGUUGUCCCGGUUUAAGCAUGUAGGCGGAUGUUCCAGGUAAAUCCGGAACGUCACUAACGCUGAGGUGUGAUGACGAGGCACUACGGUGCUGAAGUGACAAAUGCCCUGCUUCCAGGAAAAGCCUCUAAGCAUCAGGUAACAUCAAAUCGUACCCCAAACCGACACAGGUGGUCAGGUAGAGAAUACCAAGGCGCUUGAGAGAACUCGGGUGAAGGAACUAGGCAAAAUGGUGCCGUAACUUCGGGAGAAGGCACGCUGAUGGUAAGUGAAGCGACUUGCUCGUGGAGCUGAAAUCAGUCGAAGAUACCAGCUGGCUGCAACUGUUUAUUAAAAACACAGCACUGUGCAAACACGAAAGUGGACGUAUACGGUGUGACGCCUGCCCGGUGCCGGAAGGUUAAUUGAUGGGGUUAUCCUCGCGGAGAAGCUCUUGAUCGAAGCCCCGGUAAACGGCGGCCGUAACUAUAACGGUCCUAAGGUAGCGAAAUUCCUUGUCGGGUAAGUUCCGACCUGCACGAAUGGCGUAAUGAUGGCCAGGCUGUCUCCACCCGAGACUCAGUGAAAUUGAACUCGCUGUGAAGAUGCAGUGUACCCGCGGCAAGACGGAAAGACCCCGUGAACCUUUACUAUAGCUUGACACUGAACACUGGUCCUUGAUGUGUAGGAUAGGUGGGAGGCUUUGAAGUGUGGACGCCAGUCUGCAUGGAGCCAUCCUUGAAAUACCACCCUUUAAUGGCUGGUGUUCUAACGUGGGCCCGUAAUCCGGGUUGCGGACAGUGUCUGGUGGGUAGUUUGACUGGGGCGGUCUCCUCCUAAAGAGUAACGGAGGAGCACGAAGGUCAGCUAAUCCUGGUCGGACAUCAGGAGGUUAGUGCAAUGGCAUAAGCUGGCUUGACUGCGAGCGUGACGGCGCGAGCAGGUGCGAAAGCAGGUCAUAGUGAUCCGGUGGUUCUGAAUGGAAGGGCCAUCGCUCAACGGAUAAAAGGUACUCCGGGGAUAACAGGCUGAUACCGCCCAAGAGUUCAUAUCGACGGCGGUGUUUGGCACCUCGAUGUCGGCUCAUCACAUCCUGGGGCUGAAGUAGGUCCCAAGGGUAUGGCUGUUCGCCAUUUAAAGUGGUACGCGAGCUGGGUUUAGAACGUCGUGAGACAGUUCGGUCCCUAUCUGCCGUGGGCGCUGGAGAAUUGAGGGGGGCUGCUCCUAGUACGAGAGGACCGGAGUGGACGCAUCACUGGUGUUCGGGUUGUCAUGCCAAUGGCAUUGCCCGGUAGCUAAAUGCGGAAGAGAUAAGUGCUGAAAGCAUCUAAGCACGAAACUUGCCCCGAGAUGAGUUCUCCCUGACUCCUUGAGAGUCCUGAAGGAACGUUGAAGACGACGACGUUGAUAGGCCGGGUGUUUAAGCGCAGCGAUGCGUUGAGCUAACCGGUACUAAUGAACCGUGAGGCUUAACCUUAC